GUGAAGGUGCUGAACUUGUAUACACCUGUCAACGCGUUUGAAGAGCGUGUGUCAGUACUGUUCAUAAGAACAAUACAGACACGUUUACGGGAUCGAAAGGAGUCGCCUCAGCUGCUGAUGGACACCAAACUCAUCUACCCCGUGACCUUCCCCUUUAACCCCUCCUCCCUGGCCCUGGAAACUAUUCAGAUACCCGGCAGCCUCAAUGUGGGCUUCCUCACUCGUGUGUAGACCUGUCAAUCACCUCACCUCAACCAAUCACACGGCAGGAACAGGGAGCCAAAAUAUAUAAAUAAA